CCUACGGGAGGCAGCAGUGGGGAAUAUUGCACAAUGGGGGAAACCCUGAUGCAGCAACGCCGCGUGAAGGAUGACGGUUUUCGGAUUGUAAACUUCUUUUCUUAGUGACGAAGACAGUGACGGUAGCUAAGGAAUAAGCAUCGGCUAACUACGUGCCAGCAGCCGCGGUAAUACGUAGGAUGCAAGCGUUAUCCGGAUUUACUGGGUGUAAAGGGAGCGCAGGCGGGACUGCAAGUUGGAUGUGAAAUACCGUGGCUUAACCACGGAACUGCAUCCAAAACUGUAGUUCUUGAGUGAAGUAGAGGCAAGCGGAAUUCCGAGUGUAGCGGUGAAAUGCGUAGAUAUUCGGAGGAACACCAGUGGCGAAGGCGGCUUGCUGGGCUUUAACUGACGCUGAGGCUCGAAAGUGUGGGGAGCAAACAGGAUUAGAUACCCUGGUAGUCCACACUGUAAACGAUGAAUACUAGGUGUGCGGGGACUGACCCCCUGCGUGCCGCAGUAAACACAAUAAGUAUUCCACCUGGGGAGUACGAUCGCAAGGUUGAAACUCAAAGGAAUUGACGGGGGCCCGCACAAGCGGUGGAUUAUGUGGUUUAAUUCGAAGCAACGCGAAGAACCUUACCAGGGUUUGACAUCCUGCUAACGAAGUAGAGAUACAUUAGGUGCCCUUCGGGGAAAGCAGAGACAGGUGGUGCAUGGUUGUCGUCAGCUCGUGUCGUGAGAUGUUGGGUUAAG
rnacentral:rRNA from 1 species